rnacentral:rRNA from 1 species
UACGGGGGGGGCAAGCGUUGUUCGGAAUUACUGGGCGUAAAGGGCUCGUAGGUGGCCAACUAAGUCAGACGUGAAAUCCCUCGGCUUAACCGGGGAACUGCGUCUGAUACUGGAUGGCUUGAGUUUGGGAGAGGGACGCGGAAUUCCAGGUGUAGCGGUGAAAUUCGUAGAUAUCGGGAGGAACACCAGUGGCGAAGGCGGAGACCUGGGCCGAUACUGACGCUGAGGUGCGAAAGCGUGGGGAGCAAACAGG